rnacentral:lncRNA from 1 species
AAAUAUUCAUUUUCUCCAUGAAUUUCUCUAGGCAGAAUCUAGCCAAUGGUGUGUGAGGAUGAGGUUGACUUUAUUUUAAGAGAAUUAGAUGGAAAAAUGAUGAAUUAUGAGGUUGGAAAUUAAAUGAGAAUUUUUUGUGCAAAAAAAUUAAAAUUUUUACCCACUAGGGGUAAAAGCGUAAUUUGUGGUCUGAACUGAUAAAUUGGACCACAUUCACAGUCAUUGAGGUAUUGUGGAUAUAAUUGGAUAAUUGAAAUUGAAAUGGAUGGAAUUGGAG